rnacentral:lncRNA from 1 species
CCAAAAUCGAAACCAAGUCUCCUCCCCCCUCCCAAUCCGAGGGAAGAGGCAAUAAGUCCAGAUCUUCAAUCUUCACAAGGUAUUCUUUCUUUUCUGCUCAACCUCAGAUUUUCAACUGAUUUUGAUUGUGAUUUUAUUGAAUACAUUGGAGAUAAUUCUCGAGUACAUAAUUUGAGAUCUAUUGUAAUAGGUACAUGUGUGAACUUGUUUAUCUUAAUUGUUUAUGCGAAAAUGAUUCAUAUGAUGUAGAAAUUUUUUAUUUAUAAGAAAAAUGGUGUAGGUAGGUAGGUAUUUAAAUAUGGGUAAUGAUGUGGGAGUUGAUGAGAGGUAACAUUUUUAAUGUUACCACAAGGGUUUCUCAUGGAAGUAUUCUUUGGCUUUGGUUGUUGCAGAAACAGUUGUAUGAUAUUAACAAUGUGUGUGAAAAACUGAUGGUGAAUGGGUUCUGGGGACUCUGUGUUAUGACACUUUCGAGGUCACACUUCACGAAUGGUAACGAAGAGUUGAUACGGAUUAAAUUAUUGAUCUUGUCAAUCGCAUUGAGUUGAUCAGGAUCAAUAAUUUGACGAGCAUUUGCGUUUUGUUACCAUUCAUAAGGUGUGAUGUCUAAUGUGUUGCAACACAACCCUACCAUCCAUUCAUCAUCAUCAAACUUUUGGACAUGUUGUUGACAUCCACUUAUGUACAUCCAAGGGUAAAGGAUAUAUUCCAUUUGAAAUUUAUAGCGUAUCGUCAUCCGUCCUCGGAUUACUCAUGUUUAGACACUUUAUAUUUUUACCUCCACCAUUUCUCUUAGAGAAAAAUUGUACAUCAUAUCACAAUCUUUUGCAUAAAUAAUUGAUAUGAAAUUUGUUACGCUCACCGGUGCCCAUUUCAAUGGCCCUUGAAUUAUGUUAUUGAGAAAUUUGCACGAGUACUAUAAGAAGCUAGUAAGAUGUUGAUCAUUGAUGGUGUUGUCAGUUGCAAUUAGAGGUACCCUUAACGUUUGCAAUCGUUACUUUAAAAUUUUUAUUUUUUUGUGUUUAGCAUUUCCUAUUAGAAUCGCGUGUACCAAAAAAAGAAGAAGGUGAAGGUGUUCUUUUUGUUUACAUUGUGGUUCAUUAUUAUUUCUUUGUUGAGCUUGCUAAAACGAAAAAGAUAAUUACAACCUAAAACCCCGUGGGCUCGUAGGCCCAAAGAGAUUAAUAUUCUUUGAAGUUUGUUGAUUAAUGCAUAAUUGUGUUUCAUUUUGUAUCUUUUUAGCUUAUGAUUUCAUUAUAUUUUUGAGUUAAACUUGUAUUUGUAAGAUAAGGUAGCUUAAGGAGAAAUUCGAAAACAUCUGCGUUAUUGUGCCAAAAAAAAUAUUUGAAGGCAUUUUCGAUUUUCUUUGAGAUGAAGUAUAUAUGGUUGGAAAGAGAACAUAGAAUUUUAAGAUUAAUAUUUUUUUAGAAUUUUAUGACUGCGGAAUGAGCCCAAAAUGUGCCUACAAAUAUAUUGCAGUGCAUUAACUGUUAAAAUUGGGCCAACAGCUGUGUAGUUAAUAAGUGGCGAUAGGGCCUUAGUCCACUGGAAAGAUCAUUUUUUUGUCUUAAAUUAGUGUAGUAAAAGUCUUCAUUUGGAGUUUGGAAGCUCAAGUUGUGAUGCAAACAAGGUUGUUUGGUCAUGUAUAACCUAUGUAUGAGUUAAUUGUUUUUUAUGGGGAAUUUAGGUAAAGUUGGUGAAGUUGGUGUUGUUGGUAGAUGUAAUACUCAAAUAAGAUUUUUCCUUCCCUUAUGUUUUUAAAUAGUGAGGUUUUUCAAAUUUACAAACACACCUCAAGAGAGGGAGCUCUCAAACAUAUCUCUAUAGCUCCUCUCCCUUCUCUCUCUCAAAUUCUCUCAAUUGUUGUAAUAAAAUUCUUUUGUUAUAUUUUCCUUUAUAUUUGAGCUCAUUUCCUUUGUGAUGUUUGUAAGUUUGGAGAACCUCACUAUUUAUAGGUAUAAGGGAAUGAAAUAUCUAAUUUGAGUAUUGCUUUUAUCUACAACACACAUUUCAUCAACUUUUUCUAACUUCUUCACCAAAAAUAAUUAGCUCAUGUAUAGGUCAUAUAUGACCAAGCAACUUUGUGAGCAUUAUAACGUGGGCUUUUCUACUCCAAAUGAAGACUUUGACCACAUUAAAUUAAAGCCUAGAAAAUGAUCUUUCCAAUGGACUAAAGUCAUGUCACCAAUUCUCAAUGAAAGCCAUAAAAAAGGUUGAUACUCCUUGACUGCACAGCUGGUCGUCCGGUUUUGAUAGUGAAUGCUCUGCUUGUUGGCACGUUUUGGGCUGGUUCCUUUGUUCAUAAAAUAUGAAUAUUCAAGCGUUUUGUUUUAUUUUUCUAACCAUAUAUAGUCAAUUUUAAGUAAAAAUCGGAAAGGUCUUCAAAUAUUAUUUUUGGAAUAGUAAUGCAGAUGCGUCUAAAUUCAUCUUAAGUUGCAUUGUCUUUAAAUAUUGCUGUGAUUGGCUGCUCCAAAAAUUCUAGAGAAAUUACGUAGGCAUAUUCAAUGUCUUAGCUUCACUAUCCAAUUGGCUUUGCACAAAAAUUCCACCGAAAAGUCAUUUCCAUUGAAAAUUGAUUGAGUCACCAGGUUGCACUCUUUUGCAUAUUUUUAUUUAUCUAAAGCCACCAUUGCUACCUAAACCCUAAAGUUCAAUGAAUUGAAUGAAAAAUACAAAAAAAAGAUAAAAACACAUGUUUAAACAAAAAAACCUAACAAAAUCAUUAGCUAGAAGAGUACAAAAUAAAAUACAAUUAUGCACUAAUCGUUUGUGUACAGUUAAUGUCAUGCCUCAAUCAAUUUGUUACAUUUCGAGGGGUUUUGACCAAGUGGGCACGUCGCAUUUCUUCCACUCGUCUAUACAAUUAGCAUGAAAAUAAUGGUUGCAUUUUGGUAUGGUUCUCAAUAUUUCCUUGGCAUAUGUGUUGUCAUUGGGCUUGGGUUUAGGCCCAAUGAAAUGAUGGUCUGAUCAUCAAGGCCUAUUUUGACAACGGGUGAUUGUUGGUUGGUUAUGGUGGAAAAUUCUAUCAUAUUGAGUUGGUGGGGUUGAUCAACCCGACCACAAGCCCUCUAUCCCGAUCACUACAAAUACAAAGAUGAACAAGAGCCCUGUGAUUCCCUGCAUAUCAUCAUUAUACCGUACUUUCCAGUUGUUGAAAUACCUGAGAAAGGUUGAAAUUAAUUGUUACAGUAUUGAAAGUACUGUGUUUUACUAAUACUUGGAUAUUAAAAUGAUUCCAAUUCAUGACUUCGUGCCCUCAAAAUCAGAAAUAUAAUCACGGGAAAUAGUUGAUUUGAUUUCAAAUCUUUGAUUAUCCUAUCUAAGUUUGUUGAUUCAUGACUUCCCUUAUUUUUGACAGGUAAACAUUAGUCAAGAAUAUGUCAAUAUCUACUAUGAUAAAACAUACCCUUAUUUGAAUCAGGAUAAAUAGUACUAGAGCACGUAAGCUUGGAACUUGAACCAUUCUCCAACCCACAGACUUUACCCGGAACUGCUUCACAAAAAUAACUAGUAGGCACAUUCCAUGCCAACUCAAAACCGUAAGUAUCAAGACUGUCCCACUGAAAUGGAUUUUCCAGUGGAACCAAAAUUGUGGAAAUCACAGAACAAAGAGAUGAAGGAUCCGGAUCAAUCUGACCAUGUAAAUAAGUGGAUAGGAUGUUUCCACGUUGGACGAGCAAUUCAGGAAGGUGAAGUUUUUAAGGGCAGGAGCGUAUGAAAAUGGUGAACUUACAAGACUGAAGUCAUUGUCCAUGACCCGCCUAGUGAAGCACUUGUCCGGGUCGGUGAUCAAUACCUACCUUCUAGUUAAUGUAGUUGAUGUCUUGGACGAAGAAGUGCCCGUAAGAUGAUGGGAGAGUGAGAAUGGUUUGCCUUUGGUUUGCACCGCUGCACAUACCCACAAAGUUUUUUCGUCGUCUUGGGUUUGGGAUGGAGUAGCCUCCCUCCCCUUAUACGAAAUUCUGGAGUCCCUCCUUUUUGGAAUGCGCACAAUUCUACAACAAGGCUAGGGAGGGUCGGAAGACCUCCAGAUAUUUGUAUAGGAAAUUUUGUUUUUUUUUUGUUUUUUUGGGUUUUGGAUUAAAUAAGAUAAAGUUAAAAUCAUGACAACUAUUGCUAUUGAAAAGAUAAG